rnacentral:siRNA from 1 species
UGGAUCCCUCUUCUUAGUAGUGUC